rnacentral:rRNA from 1 species
UACGGAGGGUGCAAGCGUUGCUCGGAAUUAUUGGGCGUAAAGGGUAGGUAGGUGGUCUCAUUUGUCUGGGGUGAAAGCCUUGAGCUUAACUCAAGAAGUGCCCCAGAAACGGUGAGACUAGAGUCCUGGAGAGGGUCGUGGAAUUCCCGGUGUAGCGGUGAAAUGCGUAGAGAUCGGGAGGAACACCAGAGGCGAAGGCGGCGACCUGGACAGGUACUGACACUCAGGAGCGAAAGCGUGGGGAGCGAUCCGG